UCUCUGUGUGGCUUUGGAACCUGUCCUGGAACUCACUAUGUGGACCAGACUGGCCUAGAACUCACAGAGAUCCGCCUGCCUCUGCCUCCCGAGUGCUGGGAUUAAAGACCUGCGCCACCACCGCCCAACUGAGGAAACAGUUCUCAGUCACACAGUCUCUUGAGAUUCCAGGAAGCAGGAUCGCCAUUUUCAGACUGAAGUCGAGGCUACCUAAAUUUCCAUUUCAAUUGGGACGUCUUUGAGAAGACAGCCCCCUCAGCCCUCGGUGAGCACCACAGCCUCGUGAAUGCUCUGCGUGAUGUAGUCUAUGUUCCUGGCGUUGAUGCAGGACCCAGGGGUCCCCAGGAGUCGGAGCUUCUCCUUCACCUUCUCCUUGACCAACAUGAUGUUCUCCACGACACCUUUCAGACUGUAUUUCCUACCAAGGAAAGAAGCAAGAAAUGGGACCGAGAGGUCUCCUUGUUGCCCAACAUGUGUUCCCCUCUUCCUACAUGCAGGCAGCACAAGGCUGGAACCUGAGCUCUGCGGCACCUGUGGUCGAAGGAGGUCCGAUUCUGUUGUUGUCUGGGUCUUAAACAUCUCCCAAAGGCUUGUGUGUGUUAAAGGCCGUGUCACUAUUGGUUGUGGGAGGAUGUUAGCUCAUUGGGGGUGGAUCUCUCUUUCUUUACAUCUGUUUGCCUU